rnacentral:rRNA from 1 species
GACGAACGCUGGCGGCGUGCUUAACACAUGCAAGUCGAACGAUGAAGUCUAGCUUGCUAGGUGGAUUAGUGGCGAACGGGUGAGUAAUACGUGAGUGACCUACCUUUGACUCUGGGAUAAGCCUGGGAAAUUGGGUCUAAUACCGGAUACGACCAAUCUCCGCAUGGGGUGUUGGUGGAAAGCGUUAUGGAGUGGUUUUAGAUGGGCUCACGGCCUAUCAGCUUGUUGGUGAGGUAAUGGCUUACCAAGGCGACGACGGGUAGCCGGCCUGAGAGGGUGACCGGCCACACUGGGACUGAGACACGGCCCAGACUCCUACGGGAGGCAGCAGUGGGGAAUAUUGCACAAUGGGCGCAAGCCUGAUGCAGCGACGCCGCGUGAGGGAUGACGGCCUUCGGGUUGUAAACCUCUGUUAGCAUCGAAGAAGCGAAAGUGACGGUAGGUGCAGAGAAAGCGCCGGCUAACUACGUGCCAGCAGCCGCGGUAAUACGUAGGGCGCGAGCGUUGUCCGGAAUUAUUGGGCGUAAAGAGCUUGUAGGCGGUUGGUCGCGUCUGCUGUGAAGGCUGGGGCUUAACCCUGGUUUUGCAGUGGGUACGGGCUAACUAGAGUGCAGUAGGGGAGACUGGAAUUCCUGGUGUAGCGGUGGAAUGCGCAGAUAUCAGGAGGAACACCGAUGGCGAAGGCAGGUCUCUGGGCUGUAACUGACGCUGAGAAGCGAAAGCAUGGGGAGCGAACAGGAUUAGAUACCCUGGUAGUCCAUGCCGUAAACGUUGGGCACUAGGUGUGGGGGACAUUCCACGUUUUCCGCGCCGUAGCUAACGCAUUAAGUGCCCCGCCUGGGGAGUACGGCCGCAAGGCUAAAACUCAAAGAAAUUGACGGGGGCCCGCACAAGCGGCGGAGCAUGCGGAUUAAUUCGAUGCAACGCGAAGAACCUUACCAAGGCUUGACAUAUACUGGACUGCGUCAGAGAUGGCGUUUCCCUUCGGGGCUGGUAUACAGGUGGUGCAUGGUUGUCGUCAGCUCGUGUCGUGAGAUGUUGGGUUAAGUCCCGCAACGAGCGCAACCCUCGUUCUAUGUUGCCAGCACGUGAUGGUGGGGACUCAUAGGAGACUGCCGGGGUUAACUCGGAGGAAGGUGGGGAUGACGUCAAAUCAUCAUGCCCCUUAUGUCUUGGGCUUCACGCAUGCUACAAUGGCCGGUACAGAGGGUUGCGAUACUGUGAGGUGGAGCUAAUCCCUAAAAGCCGGUCUCAGUUCGGAUUGGGGUCUGCAACUCGACCCCAUGAAGUCGGAGUCGCUAGUAAUCGCAGAUCAGCAACGCUGCGGUGAAUACGUUCCCGGGCCU